ensembl:lncRNA
GGUAUCGUUACAACACUAAUUCAAUCCCAUCGUUCUUGCGGUUUAUAAGAGACAGUGGCCUUCCCCAGUGAGGAGCUUUUGGACCUGCAUGUGAAAAACUCUAUUAUCCUAGAUGUCAGCCAUGCUGAGGACAUGAAUAUGCAGCAGCCUUCUUACCUGUCCUCCAUCAUAGGUAAGGGAUACAGUGCACUACUGGACAUACUGUACAAUCUGUGUCCCAAAUGACACCCUAUCCCUAUAUAGUGCACUACUUUUGACCAUGGCUCACUGGUCUCUGGUCAAGAGUAGUGCACUAUCUAGCUAAUAGGUUGCCAUGGGACACAGGCAAUGUGUCGUUUUUAAAAGGAAAGUGAAACGUUGCCAACCUGGGAUAUAAAGUAUUCCAUGCUUCUUUAUGUGGGCACAAUGUUAUUUGUAUCUUUGCAGACAUCUCCAAAAUGAAUGAUAGAUAAGAUCAGGAAAAGAGGUAGAUUGGAUUCAAUGUAUUAGAUGUCACAUUCAUUUUUUCAUAGAAUGAAACAGUAUAUCCAAACAAAUGACAUUUCUUAGUUCACAGCCAUUUAGCGCUGCCCAUUAGAAACACAUUUUUAGGGAUUUGUUUAUCAUUGAUAUUUUUUGUUUAUAAUAUAUAAUUGACUUAUUUCUGUCAAACACCUAACAAAAGCAGGAGGACACAUAUCGAACUGAUGAUUUAUUUCCCAUGUAUUUGUAGACAAGCUGUACAGUGCCUAUUUCCAUUGAAAGAACACCCUUACCUGGUGAAUUAACUGUGCCCUCAGUCCCCAAGGAAACACCACGAGUAUGAAAACGCUCACCUGUCUUUUUGUAUUUCUCAGAUUCCGUCUGUAUCUCAGUGGCAUUUAAAGAGAAAUUGUUUCAUUCUCAAGAGAAAUUGUGAAUCGUCUGAAAAAGAGACUCUGAGUAUCAAGGGGCUUUUCCUGGUUGAAUAAAGGUUAAUAAAUAAAAAAACACACACACAAAAAUAGUGUAUGAAUGUUAGCAAUGAAAUCUUUCUCUCAAAGUCAGUGAUGAUUAGACCCAGGAAGAUCAAAUGCAGGAAGAGAGUAACAUUCAGUGACUCUGUUACCACUGAGAAGAUGGUGGUGAACAAUGUGAGCCUGUCAGUGGCCACAUGGCCAGUGAAAUCACUGAGAGGACCGGAAACACAGGGGGCGACAGAGAGACGUCUGCCCCUGAAGAAGCCCCACAAGUCCAGAAAAGACCCACACAACACUCCCCGGAGCAAACCAAGUUCUUUGACUUUGCAGACGAGAAAGAAAAGGACACUUCUGUCAAAAAUUGUGGCAGAGGUACUCCUCCCCGAGGAUGACAUUCACCAAUGUUGGUGUACCUUCGACAGAUGCAUUUGAAGAUGAGGAUGAAGCUGUUUGUUCCAGAACCAGCUGUGCAAGGUGUGCCGGUUCCACCCCACCAGGAAGGAAAGCUACCACAACUUGUUAAAGCUGUCAUCAAUCGAGGUGAGAAAGCAAACAAACCACAUUGGCUGAAGCUCUUAUAUAACCUUCUUUUACCUGUCAUUUUCACAACACAUUCAUCUCACAAGGCCCUGUAACCAUGUUUUGAAAUAGUUUUGCAAACUUGUAAUUCAAUACACAAUUGUAAAAGAUAUACAACACUAAUAAAAAGGCAGUUUGUACAUUUGUUUAAUUAUUUAUUUUAGGACAAUUCUGUAAAAAAAAAAAAAGAGAGAAUGUUUUCACAGUCCAUG